CCUACGGGAGGCUGCAGUGGGGAAUAUUGCGCAAUGGGCGAAAGCCUGACGCAGCGACGCCGCGUGAGGGAUGAAGGUCUUCGGAUCGUAAACCUCUGUCAGCAGGGAAGAACGGUCACUGUGCUAAUCAGCAGUGAAUUGACGGUACCUGCAAAGGAAGCACCGGCUAACUCCGUGCCAGCAGCCGCGGUAAUACGGAGGGUGCGAGCGUUAAUCGGAAUUACUGGGCGUAAAGCGCUCGUAGGCGGUAUGUCAAGUCAAGGGUGAAAUCCCCGCGCUCAACGUGGGAACUGCCUUUGAAAAUGGAAAAAUGGAGUGUGUGAGAGGAUAGUGGAAUUAAAGGUGUAGGAGUGAAAUAAGUAGAUAUAUGGAGGAAAAUCAGUGGAGAAGGAGAAUAUAUGGAAAAUAAAUGAAGAUGAGGAGAGAAAGAGUGGGUAGAAAAAAGGAUUAGAUAACCGAGUAGUC
rnacentral:rRNA from 1 species